rnacentral:rRNA from 1 species
UACCAGCACCCCGAGUGGUCGGGACGUUAUUGGGCCUAAAGCAUCCGUAGCCGGUUCUACAAGUCUUCCGUUAAAUCCACCUGCUUAACAGAUGGGCUGCGGAAGAUACUAUAGAGCUAGGAGGCGGGAGAGGCAAGCGGUACUCGAUGGGUAGGGGUAAAAUCCGUUGAAUCCAUUGAAGACCACCAGUGGCGAAGGCGGCUUGCCAGAACGCGCUCGGACGGU